UAGGGAAUCUUCCGCAAUGGAUGAAAGUCUGACGGAGCAACGCCGCGUGAGCGAAGAAGGCCUUCGGGUCGUAAAGCUCUGUUGUUAGGGAAGAACAAGUAUCGGAGUAACUGCCGGUACCUUGACGGUACCUAACCAGAAAGCCACGGCUAACUACGUGCCAGCAGCCGCGGUAAUACGUAGGUGGCAAGCGUUGUCCGGAAUUAUUGGGCGUAAAGCGCGCGCAGGCGGUCCUUUAAGUCUGAUGUGAAAGCCCACGGCUCAACCGUGGAGGGUCAUUGGAAACUGGGGGACUUGAGUGCAGAAGAGGAGAGUGGAAUUCCACGUGUAGCGGUGAAAUGCGUAGAGAUGUGGAGGAACACCAGUGGCGGAAGGCGACUCUCUGGUCUGUAACUGACGCUGAGGCGCGAAAGCGUGGGGGAGCAAACAGGAUUAGAUACCCUGGUAGUCCACGCCGUAAACGAUGAGUGCUAAG
rnacentral:rRNA from 1 species